rnacentral:lncRNA from 1 species
GCCAAUUCUCCCCCUGUGAUUGUCAACACGGACACCCUAGAAGCCCCAGGAUAUGAGUUGCAGGUGAAUGGAACAGAGGGGGAGAUGGAGUAUGAGGAGAUCACAUUGGAAAGGGGUAACUCAGGUCUGGGCUUCAGCAUCGCAGGUGGCACUGACAACCCGCACAUCGGUGACGACCCGUCCAUUUUUAUCACCAAGAUCAUUCCUGGUGGGGCUGCAGCCCA